CCUACGGGGGGCAGCAGUGGGGAAUAUUGGUCAAUGGGCGAAAGCCUGAUCCAGCCAUGCCGCGUGUGUGAAGAAGGCCUUCGGGUUGUAAAGCACUUUCAGUGGGGAAGAAAGCCUUGGGGCUAAUACCCUCGAGGAAGGACAUCACCCACAGAAGAAGCACCGGCUAACUCCGUGCCAGCAGCCGCGGUAAUACGGAGGGUGCGAGCGUUAAUCGGAAUUACUGGGCGUAAAGCGCGCGUAGGCGGUCUGAUAAGCCGGUUGUGAAAGCCCCGGGCUCAACCUGGGAACGGCAUCCGGAACUGUCAGGCUAGAGUGCAGGAGAGGAAGGUAGAAUUCCCGGUGUAGCGGUGAAAUGCGUAGAGAUCGGGAGGAAUACCAGUGGCGAAGGCGGCCUUCUGGACUGACACUGACGCUGAGGUGCGAAAGCGUGGGUAGCAAACAGGAUUAGAUACCCCGGUAGUC
rnacentral:rRNA from 1 species